AUUGAACGCUGGCGGCAGGCCUAACACAUGCAAGUCGAGCGGAUGAAGGGAGCUUGCUCCUGGAUUCAGCGGCGGACGGGUGAGUAAUGCCUAGGAAUCUGCCUGGUAGUGGGGGAUAACGUCCGGAAACGGGCGCUAAUACCGCAUACGUCCUGAGGGAGAAAGUGGGGGAUCUUCGGACCUCACGCUAUCAGAUGAGCCUAGGUCGGAUUAGCUAGUUGGUGGGGUAAAGGCCUACCAAGGCGACGAUCCGUAACUGGUCUGAGAGGAUGAUCAGUCACACUGGAACUGAGACACGGUCCAGACUCCUACGGGAGGCAGCAGUGGGGAAUAUUGGACAAUGGGCGAAAGCCUGAUCCAGCCAUGCCGCGUGUGUGAAGGAGGUCUUCGGAUGGUAAAGCACUUUAAGUUGGGAGGAAGGGCAGUAAGUUAAUACCUUGCUGUUUUGACGUUACCAACAGAAUAAGCACCGGCUAACUUCGU
rnacentral:rRNA from 1 species